rnacentral:rRNA from 1 species
GGAGGAAAGUAGGGGAUCGAAAGACCUUGCGCUUUGGGAGCGGCCGAUGUCUGAUUAGCUAGUUGGUGGGGUGAAGGCCUACCAAGGCGACGAUCAGUAGUUGGUCUGAGAGGACGACCAGCCACACUGGGACUGAGACACGGCCCAGACUCCUACGGGAGGCAGCAGUGGGGAAUUUUGGACAAUGGGCGCAAGCCUGAUCCAGCAAUGCCGCGUGAGUGAAGAAGGCCUUCGGGUUGUAAAGCUCUUUCAGUCGAGAAGAAAAAGCUGCAGUGAAUAACUGUAGUUCAUGACGGUAUCGACAGAAGAAGCACCGGCUAACUACGUGCCAGCAGCCGCGGUAAUACGUAGGGUGCGAGCGUUAAUCGGAAUUACUGGGCGUAAAGGGUGCGCAGGCGGCUUUGUAAGUCAGAUGUGAAAUCCCCGGGCUUAACCUGGGAAUUGCGUUUGAAACUACAAAGCUAG